CGCAUCUGUGCAUGCAGCAUAUCAAUAAGCGGAGGAAAAGAAACUAACAAGGAUUCCCUCUAGUAACGGCGAGUGAAGCGGGAAGAGCUCAAAUUUGAAAUCUUGAAAGGUCACCUUUCACGAAUUGUAGUUUAAAGAAGUGUUUUCUGUUACGAUCGUAAUAUAAGUUCUUUGGAAUAGGACAUCACAGAGGGUGAGAAUCCCGUCUAUGAUUGCGAUUUGUAGCUUUGUGAUACACUUUCAAAGAGUCGGGUUGUUUGGGAAUGCAGCCCAAAACGGGAGGUAAAUUUCUUCUAAGGCUAAAUAUUGGCGAGAGACCGAUAGCGGAACAAGUACCGUGAGGGAAAAGAUGAAAAGAACUUUGAAAAGGAGAGUUAAAUAGUACGUGAAAUUGUCAAAAGGGAAGCGUUUAACACCAGUGUUGUUUUCUGAAAAUCAACCUCUGUUAGCUUUAUGCAUGUUUGUUUAGACCUAAUCAGCUAUCUUGCAUGUUCUAUUGUUUGCAGUGGUGCACUUUUCAGUUUACAGGUCAACAUCAGUUUUUUUUUUACCGUAAAAAAGUUAAAGAAAGGUAGCUCAUGGCUCCGGUCGUGAGUGUUAUAGUCUUUUUCCUAUGCGGUAGGAGAGACUGAGGUCUGCAGUGUAGGCUAUUUGGCUAGAUACUCAGGUGCUAUGUGAUACCAUUUCAUAAACAACUUGUUGAUUAUGUUUUGUCUAUUGCAUACUCGCUUGUACUAUCAUACCUACGCUUAGGAUGUUGACGAUCAGCUGAGCGCG
rnacentral:rRNA from 1 species